AGUAAAAGAAGGAAAGGAGGCAUGGUUAAUUAGAGGAGAAGAAUUUCUUCCUUUCUGGGUCCACAGAAUCUGCAAAACAAGGUAAGGUUUCGGCUGCCCAAAUCAAGUUUUUCAAGAAUUAGUUUCAAUUCUUUCUCAGUUUGCUCCUCAUGCAGAAUUAGUUUGGACUUUGAUUUUUUUCUAUUUAAUUCUUUCCAAGAUAGCUCUUUGCCACCCAAAAUUGGUUGCCAUCUC
rnacentral:lncRNA from 1 species